UUCUUCAUCUGUGCUGGUAGAUUUGUACAUUUGGAAGUUGUUUUUGUGUGGAAAGAGAUGGACACGGUCAGUAUGCAAUUUGAUAGGAAUUAUCUAUAUUAGCUAGUCUAUAACUAGGUAGACUAGAAUAUCUGUGGUUCUACCCUAAAUUUUACCUGCCCUUGUCUGUCCAUUUUGGGGCAUAUUUUUUCUGCCAAUAAAGGUGGAGAGUCGCCAUAUGACUUGAGAACCAACAAAAAAAAUGUGAUUUGUUUAGUUAAAAAGACUUUGUUCAACAUAUAAUAUAUGAUUGGAAUGUUGUUUUGUUAACCCCAGUGAAAUUUCAGUUAAUCUUAAGACCAAGGAGGCAGAUUUGCAAGAAUGGCAUGAAACAUGGUGAUGAUGGAUGGACGUGUGGAUCGUUAAAGCCCAACAGUGACAGAGUAUUGGAGUACUUGACGUGCAUUGUGAAAGUUGAUCGAGACUAUCAAUUCUUCGAGAGUCCCAGUGCCUAUAUACUCGCAAGAAGGAUAUGGUAUGAAAUACAGCUUGGUACACAUCUGUGCUGGUAGAUUUGUACAUUUGGAAGUUGUUUCAGUGUGGAGAGAGAUGGACACGGUGUAUUGUACGUUAAUCUUAAGACCAAGGAGGCAGAUUUGCAAGAAUGGCAUGAAACAUGGUGAUGAUGGAUGGACGUGUGGAUCGUUAAAGCCCAACAGUGACAGAGUAUUGGAGUACUUGACGUGCAUUGUGAAAGUUGAUCGAGACUAUCAAUUCUUCGAGAGUCCCAGUGCCCAUAUACUCGCAAGAAGGAUAUGGUAUGAAAUACAGCUUGGUACACAUCUGUGCUGGUAGAUUUGUACAUUUGGAAGUUGUUUCAGUGUGGAGAGAGAUGGACACGGUGUAUUGUACGUUAAUCUUAAGACCAAGGAGGCAGAUUUGCAAGAAUGGCAUGAAACAUGGUGAUGAUGGAUGGACGUGUGGAUCGUUAAAGCCCAACAGUGACAGAGUAUUGGAGUACUUGACGUGCAUUGUGAAAGUUGAUCGAGACUAUCAAUUCUUCGAGAGUCCCAGUGCCUAUAUACUCGCAAGAAGGAUAUGGUAUGAAAUACAGCUUGGUACACAUCUGUGCUGGUAGAUUUGUACAUUUGGAAGUUGUUUCAGUGUGGAGAGAGAUGGACACUGUGUAUUGUACGGUAAACCUUGCUCUUUGAUUUCAUUGGUAAAUCUAUUUUAGCUAGUCUACAACUAGGUGAAGCUAGUCUAUAACUAGGUAAAGCUGGAACGUCGCCAUAUGACCUAUACUGUGUCGGAACGUCGCCAUAUGACCUACACUGUGUCGGUGUGACGUAAAGCACAUUCAAACAAACAAACAAAACCUGCCCUUUGUCUGUCCAUUUUUGGGAAUAUUUUUUCUGCCAAUAAAGGUGGAGAGAUGUCAUAUGACUUAAGAAGCACUUUAACAAAUGUGAUUUGUUGACAAAUGAGAUUGGAAUGUUGUUUUGUUAACCCCAGUGAACUUUCAGUUAAUCUUAAGACCAAAGAAUGGCAUGAAACAUGGUGUUGAUGGAUGGAUGUGUGAUGAGAUUGGAAUGUUGUUUCGUUAAGGCAAGGCAAGUACAGAACAGAAAGGUAAAAUUAUUAAAAAGAUGUUAUAUUGUAUUUAUAAUAGGGGAAUGAUAUUAUGAACAACAUACUAUGUUAGAUGAAAUUGAAAUUGUGUAUAUGAAAGUUGAGAGUAAACAUUAUUGAAAGUAACAUUGUGAAUUGUGAAAUGAUCCCUGGUGGAUGACAUGAAGUCAUUAAUGAAAACUGGACAUGGAAGUUUACUGCAGUGAAAAUUAGUGAAAAAUGAAAUGGAAAGUAUCUGUUGAAAUAUGAAAGAAAUGAAUUGAAUCAGCAAUAGCAAAAUAGGAAAAGUGAAAGUGAAAAAUGAAUGAAAAUAAAUUGAAAAAGGAAGGAAUGCAUGAAAAUUUGAAUUUUCAAAAAAUUUGAGAACAAUAAUGUAAAUAAUAUAGAUAUUUAUGAAGAGUUGAAUGAAGAAAUUUGAAAGUGAAAAUGGAAAGAUAGUGAAAAAUGGAAAGUAUCUGUUGAAAUAUGAAUGAAAUAUAAAUGAAGAUCACAAGAGAUCAGCAAUAACAAAAGGAAAUGUGAAAGUGAAAAAUGAAUGAAAAUAAAUUGAAAAAGGAAGGAAUGCAUGGAAAUUUGAAUUUUCAAAAAAUUGAAUCGGCUUCAAAGAAAUGAAAAAAGGAGAACAAUAAUAUAGGAAUUUAUGAAUGAAAUUUGAAAGUGAAAUGAGUUCAUAACGAAAUAAAAAAUGAAUGAAUAAUGUAAUGGAAGAUAAUUUGGUGGUGCAAAGAUCAGACAUGUGAAAAUAUAAAUGAAAUAGAUAUGAAACAAUUGGCUUUUCUUGACUGUAGAAAGUCAAUGAUUGUUGAUUGUCUGCUCCUCCCAUUCAUAGUUCUACCAUGAUGUGGAAGUGCAGACAAUGCAGUUUUUCUAAUUGAUUUUUUUCUAUUUCAGCUCAAUUUUAUAUUGACCUUUGACUGGACCUUAAUCAAUCUGCAAGUCCUUACCAACCUGACCACCUCAUUUGAUGACCAUAAGCCAUGGCUUUCCCUAGUUGACCAAUCAACUUUUUUAACUACUUGGCAUAAUUAACGUAAAGGCCCAAUCUUUGACCAAAACUUUCUCCGGUUAUUGGUCAGACAUGGAUAUUGGAUAUUGAAGCUCUGAUUAUGGAAUGGUGGGGGAUGUGUAGCAAAACCAAAACGCGUGACUAUCUAAACCAUAUCCUGUACAGUGACAGACUUACCAUUCUUCAGAGCUUCAAUCAAAGGUUAAUAAUUUGAAAAACUAGCUAAACGCCAUUUUCCGGUACUUUCUGUACAUAGCUCUCGGGAAUUCAAUGAAAUGUUGUAUAAUAAUGUAACGAUCUGUAUGUUUUUGGCCUUUUCGGGAUUAAAGUGAAAUAAAAUGAUUAUUUCAUUGUUAGAUCUUUUUAUUAAUAAUUCCAUGAAAGAAAAUGUGAUUUUCUCAAAUAGUGAUUUUAUAGCUAAACAAAAUCACUGUUUGGAGUUCGGAUGUGAUGAAUUAUAUCACAAGGUCAUAGCCCGAGUGACAUAAUGAUGCACAUCUUAAUGACAAACAAUUAUUUUAUCAAGCGAUAAAAUCACUGAUUUGGAUAAUUAUUUUAUCAAGCGAUAAAAUCACUGAUUUGGAUAAUUAUUUUAUCAAGCGAUAAAAUCACUGAUUUGGAUAUCUUAUUUCAAUUUUAACACAUCAACAAAUAAAUGUGUAAAAUUUGCGAUAGAUAAACGGUGAAAUCUUGUGGUAUGAAAAUUAUCAUAUUUCACUCGUAGCUACCACCACUCGUGAAAUUUUUCAUUUUCAUACCACUCCAUGAAAAUAAAUCAUGUAUUUAUAGAAAAAACUUGAAUAUCGUCUAUAUACUUUACUCAUUAGGUGUAAUUCCCAAGAUCUUCAUAUGUAAAGUACUGGAAAAUGAUGUGCAGCUAGGUUUUCGAAAAGGUCAAUCGCUACACUUCUCCCAA